GACGAACGCUGGCGGCGUGCUUAACACAUGCAAGUCGAACGAUGAAGAAGAGAAACGCGAACUUCGGUUCAAAUUUCACUUCGGAUUAGUGGCAGACGGGUGAGUAACGCGUGAGCAACCUACCUCUUACAAAGGGAUAGCCUCGGGAAACCGUGAUUAAUACCAUAUGACACAUUCAUAAGGCAUCUUAAGAAUGUUAAAGCUACGGCGGUAAGAGAUGGGCUCGCGUCCCAUUAGCUAGUUGGUGAGGUAACGGCCCACCAAGGCGACGAUGGAUAACCGGCCUGAGAGGGUGAACGGUCACAUUGGAACUGAGACACGGUCCAAACUCCUACGGGAGGCAGCAGUGGGGAAUAUUGCACAAUGGAGGGAACUCUGAUGCAGCGACGCCGCGUGAGCGAUGAAGGAAUUCGUUUCGUAAAGCUCUGUUCUAUGGGAAGAAAAGGACUGUACCAUAGGAGAAAGCCCCGGCUAAAUACGUG
rnacentral:rRNA from 1 species